GAUGAACGCUGGCGGCGUGCUUAACACAUGCAAGUCGAACGGGGAACAAAUUAUUGAAGCUUCGGCAGAUCUAGCUUGUUCCUAGUGGCGGACGGGUGAGUAACGCGUGGGUAACCUGCCUCACACUGGGGGAUAACAGUCAGAAAUGGCUGCUAAUACCGCAUAAGCGCAUAGUACCGCAUGGUACAGUGUGAAAAACUCCGGUGGUGUGAGAUGGACCCGCGUUGGAUUAGCUAGUUGGCAGGGCAGCGGCCUACCAAGGCGACGAUCCAUAGCCGGCCUGAGAGGGUGAACGGCCACAUUGGGACUGAGACACGGCCCAGACUCCUACGGGAGGCAGCAGUGGGGAAUAUUGCACAAUGGGGGAAACCCUGAUGCAGCGACGCCGCGUGAAGGAAGAAGUAUCUCGGUAUGUAAACUUCUAUCAGCAGGGAAGAAAAUGACGGUACCKACUAAGAGCCCCCGAYUUCCC
rnacentral:rRNA from 1 species